UGGACGCGUUCUCGCACACCCUUGAACACAACGGAGCUUUUGGGUUGUAAGCAACAUCGUGCAGAUUUGGAAACAUUAACACACUCCUCUUCAAAAAUCGCAAGUGCUAUAACGGCGUGGCAGAGUAUGGGCCUGUCCAAAUUGGAGACCGCAUGCUACCACAGGAAGUGUGCAAACCGCCUCAACGCUGGAAAAGGCCAACGUUCAUAGCACUUAACGCAUUAAAUCAGCACUCUCCCACUUCUGAGCGGUAUUCAACCAAGGCUGAAAAAUCUGUACAUUCAUCGAUAUUUACUUCUUGAACCGGUUUAACUGAUGCUGGACAUUUGUGAUGUUGGCUGAAUCAGAAAAGCCUGUCAAGGGUCUGCUUGUGAGAGGCAUUUCAGGAGGUCCAGUAAAACAUGAACGCCAGGUGGUCCGAUGUGGUUCAGGUUCAGGUUAAUGACCGUGACCUCCGACGGGCUUCUCUUGAGUGCUGCUGCCAGGCCCUCGAGCAGAUCAUCUGUCAGUCCAGUGUUUCUCAGGAUCAGUUGCUCCACCUCAUCAGAAUUGUUCAGCACUUCCGUAAUGGCAUCCAUCUGAAUAUGAAAUCAUGGCUUCCUUUCCUAAACCGUGCAGAACAGAAGCAGAGCUUGACAACAGAGGGCUUUUGAUUUAUUACAACCACAUCUGGUACCUGUCGCAUUGGAAAAUCCAUUGAUUUAAAAGCAGGGUUUUCCUCCGUUCAGACGGGUCAAUCUGAAGCAGCCCCCUCGGCCCUGCUGAAAGCCCGGGCCGUAUCGAUACUCGCAACACGAACUGAUCCUGGCUGCCAUCAUCCCAUUCACAAAGAUGGAAGCGCUGAAGGGGUAACCCAGAUGUCUUUGAGAUGUAAACUGAAAUUGCUCUGUUGGGCAGAAUGAAAACGGUGAACGUUUUACACAGUGGGCAGUAAAAGAUCUGCUGAAGUACUUUCAUCUCAUCUGGAGUGUUUCCAGGAACCCCCUGUCCCAGAAACUCAUCGCUGUACACAAAGCUCCUGUGAUAGCGUAAUCUCUCAACAGAGCCGAAACGAACACCGAGAGGCUCACCUGCUUGCUGAAGUCAGGAGCUCUCUGAGAGUUGAUGGAAGAGGUCGAGCCGCGCCGUCUGCUCGUGUACAGAUAAGGACAUGAGUGACUCAGUUUGGCUCUUGCUGACUCCAGGUUUGACAUCUUUCCGGUGAUAGCAGGAAGGUAAACGUCACUCAACUGCUCUCUAAUAGCUGACUGACUCGGCUUGGACAACUGCACAGAUUAAAGCAAAGAAUUUCAACAGAUGGUGGCUGGAUCCAAACAUCUCCAUGUGCUGUGGAACGGUAUUCCCCUCUCUAUAAUGAAUGGAGACCAAUGGCAGAAAUGCCCAAGCAUCGUGGCUUAUUGGCUGGAAUAUUCUUUGCUAGGUGGACGUGAUGAUGUAACUCGUGUGAGUGAGCAGUGUGGAAAAGUAAGAACCUGGUUGUCAUACAGAUAAUUUAAUGACAUAUUGUAUUAUUAUAACAAGUUUGAUUUUCUAACAUCCACAUGAAUUAUGUCAGUUUUGUAUAAUGGCUUAUUUAGGGUCACAUGUGUAAAAAUGUACCUUAAGUGUUAAAGCAUGAAGCUUGGAUACUUCUAUUAAGUAUGUGAUCCUAUAUAGCUCAAUAGUAGAGCGGUGCAAAAUGUAAUAGGUUCGAACCCAGGGAACACACAUACAGUACUGAUAAAUAACAAGUGUAGCUUGUAAUGCACUUUAAAGGUGCAGUGUGUAAAUUUUAGCGGGAUCUAGUGGUGAGGUUGUGAAUUGCAACCAAUGGCUCUGUCCACUGCUCACCCGUCACUUUUUAAACGCAUAGAGAAGCUACGGUACAAAAUGGCGACUUCCGUGUAAGCGGACCCUCAGUAUGUAGACAAAAACGUCUCAUUCUAAGGUAAUAAAAACAUAACAGUUUAUUAUGAAAGGUCUUCAUACACCUCUAAUAAUAUAUUUAUGUAAAUUAUUUUGCAUUUCUGUCAAGAGAUCCUUCUAAAAAUUACACACUGCACCUUUAACUUGCUUUGGAUAAAGUGUCUGCCAAAUGCAUAAAUGUAAAAACAUAUGCCAUAUACAUAAGUAUAAUGUAAGUUUUCAGCUCAUAAAGUAAAGUUAACAACCCACUUAUUCUGAAUUAAUGCACCCGUCCCUCUAAGCUUCUCAUGUUGACCUGCAAAGCACAAAAUAAUCACAUCUUGUGAAGAAUAAAUGAGGUCGCCACACUUUGAAACAUAAAUCAAGAACUAAGUGUCCUGAUAUUAUUUUAAAGGUGCCAGGAUUGUGUUGGUUAUUGGUGUAAAGGUGAAGUAUUUUUACACUUUGAUGUAUUGCGAGUCCGUUUUGGGUUAACCUCAACAUUAAUCUUAUUACAUACUGCAAUGCAAUUUAACUUAAAAAACAACCUUUACUGUGUGUUGUCAGCACUGCAUGA